GACGAACGCUGGCGGCGUGCUUAACACAUGCAAGUCGAACGGAAAGGCCCUGCUUUUGUGGGGUGCUCGAGUGGCGAACGGGUGAGUAACACGUGAGUAACCUGCCCUUGACUUUGGGAUAACUUCAGGAAACUGGGGCUAAUACCGGAUAGGAGCUCCUGCUGCAUGGUGGGGGUUGGAAAGUUUCGGCGGUUGGGGAUGGACUCGCGGCUUAUCAGCUUGUUGGUGGGGUAGUGGCUUACCAAGGCUUUGACGGGUAGCCGGCCUGAGCGGGUGCCCGGCCACAUUGGGGCUGAGAUACCGCCCCAACUCCUUCGGGAGGCAGCAGUGGGGAAUAUUGCACAAUGGGCGGAAGCCUGAUGCAGCAACGCCGCGUGCGGGAUGACGGCCUUCGGUUUGUAAACCGCUUUCGCCUGUGACGAAGCGUGAGUGACGGUAAUGGGUAAAGAAGCACCGGCUAACUACGUG
rnacentral:rRNA from 1 species